CGAAUGUGGUAUUGUCCGCUUUGGGAGCCGUGGGCGCGGAGCUCGCACGGGGGCGGACCCACCUGCAGGCGCGGAGCAGCUGGACAGGUGUCCCUCACGGUUUUGUCCCCCCGUAGGGGGGCCCUCUUUACCUCCAGCCCGUGGGCCUUCGGUGAGAAGAGGUGUUUGCACCCCCCAUUUAAGGCACAGACCUUUCCGCUGAUUACCCGAUGUGGGACUAAACU
rnacentral:lncRNA from 1 species